UUAAGCGACUAAGCGUACACGGUGGAUGCCCUGGCAGUCAGAGGCGAUGAAGGACGUGCUAAUCUGCGAUAAGCGUCGGUAAGGUGAUAUGAACCGUUAUAACCGGCGAUUUCCGAAUGGGGAAACCCAGUGUGAUUCGUCACACUAUCAUUAACUGAAUCCAUAGGUUAAUGAGGCGAACCGGGGGAACUGAAACAUCUAAGUACCCCGAGGAAAAGAAAUCAACCGAGAUUCCCCCAGUAGCGGCGAGCGAACGGGGAGCAGCCCAGAGCCUGAAUCAGUGUGUGUGUUAGUGGAAGCGUCUGGAAAGGCGUGCGAUACAGGGUGACAGCCCCGUACACAAAAAUGCACAUGCUGUGAGCUCGAUGAGUAGGGCGGGACACGUGGUAUCCUGUCUGAAUAUGGGGGGACCAUCCUCCAAGGCUAAAUACUCCUGACUGACCGAUAGUGAACCAGUACCGUGAGGGAAAGGCGAAAAGAACCCCGGCGAGGGGAGUGAAAAAGAACCUGAAACCGUGUACGUACAAGCAGUGGGAGCACAGAGCAAUCUGUGUGACUGCGUACCUUUUGUAUAAUGGGUCAGCGACUUAUAUUCUGUAGCAAGGUUAACCGAAUAGGGGAGCCGAAGGGAAACCGAGUCUUAACUGGGCGUUAAGUUGCAGGGUAUAGACCCGAAACCCGGUGAUCUAGCCAUGGGCAGGUUGAAGGUUGGGUAACACUAACUGGAGGACCGAACCGACUAAUGUUGAAAAAUUAGCGGAUGACUUGUGGCUGGGGGUGAAAGGCCAAUCAAACCGGGAGAUAGCUGGUUCUCCCCGAAAGCUAUUUAGGUAGCGCCUCGUGAAUUCAUCUCCGGGGUAGAGCACUGUUUCGGCAAGGGGGUCAUCCCGACUUACCAACCCGAUGCAAACUGCGAAUACCGGAGAAUGUUAUCACGGGAGACACACGGCGGGUGCUAACGUCCGUCGUGAAGAGGGAAACAACCCAGACCGCCAGCUAAGGUCCCAAAGUCAUGGUUAAGUGGGAAACGAUGUGGGAAGGCCCAGACAGCCAGGAUGUUGGCUUAGAAGCAGCCAUCAUUUAAAGAAAGCGUAAUAGCUCACUGGUCGAGUCGGCCUGCGCGGAAGAUGUAACGGGGCUAAACCAUGCACCGAAGCUGCGGCAGCGACGCUUAUGCGUUGUUGGGUAGGGGAGCGUUCUGUAAGCCUGCGAAGGUGUGCUGUGAGGCAUGCUGGAGGUAUCAGAAGUGCGAAUGCUGACAUAAGUAACGAUAAAGCGGGUGAAAAGCCCGCUCGCCGGAAGACCAAGGGUUCCUGUCCAACGUUAAUCGGGGCAGGGUGAGUCGACCCCUAAGGCGAGGCCGAAAGGCGUAGUCGAUGGGAAACAGGUUAAUAUUCCUGUACUUGGUGUUACUGCGAAGGGGGACGGAGAAGGCUAUGUUGGCCGGGCGACGGUUGUCCCGGUUUAAGCGUGUAGGCUGGUUUUCCAGGCAAAUCCGGAAAAUCAAGGCUGAGGCGUGAUGACGAGGCACUACGGUGCUGAAGCAACAAAUGCCCUGCUUCCAGGAAAAGCCUCUAAGCAUCAGGUAACAUCAAAUCGUACCCCAAACCGACACAGGUGGUCAGGUAGAGAAUACCAAGGCGCUUGAGAGAACUCGGGUGAAGGAACUAGGCAAAAUGGUGCCGUAACUUCGGGAGAAGGCACGCUGAUAUGUAGGUGAAGUCCCUCGCGGAUGGAGCUGAAAUCAGUCGAAGAUACCAGCUGGCUGCAACUGUUUAUUAAAAACACAGCACUGUGCAAACACGAAAGUGGACGUAUACGGUGUGACGCCUGCCCGGUGCCGGAAGGUUAAUUGAUGGGGUUAGCGCAAGCGAAGCUCUUGAUCGAAGCCCCGGUAAACGGCGGCCGUAACUAUAACGGUCCUAAGGUAGCGAAAUUCCUUGUCGGGUAAGUUCCGACCUGCACGAAUGGCGUAAUGAUGGCCAGGCUGUCUCCACCCGAGACUCAGUGAAAUUGAACUCGCUGUGAAGAUGCAGUGUACCCGCGGCAAGACGGAAAGACCCCGUGAACCUUUACUAUAGCUUGACACUGAACAUUGAGCCUUGAUGUGUAGGAUAGGUGGGAGGCUUUGAAGUGUGGACGCCAGUCUGCAUGGAGCCGACCUUGAAAUACCACCCUUUAAUGUUUGAUGUUCUAACGUUGACCCGUAAUCCGGGUUGCGGACAGUGUCUGGUGGGUAGUUUGACUGGGGCGGUCUCCUCCUAAAGAGUAACGGAGGAGCACGAAGGUUGGCUAAUCCUGGUCGGACAUCAGGAGGUUAGUGCAAUGGCAUAAGCCAGCUUGACUGCGAGCGUGACGGCGCGAGCAGGUGCGAAAGCAGGUCAUAGUGAUCCGGUGGUUCUGAAUGGAAGGGCCAUCGCUCAACGGAUAAAAGGUACUCCGGGGAUAACAGGCUGAUACCGCCCAAGAGUUCAUAUCGACGGCGGUGUUUGGCACCUCGAUGUCGGCUCAUCACAUCCUGGGGCUGAAGUAGGUCCCAAGGGUAUGGCUGUUCGCCAUUUAAAGUGGUACGCGAGCUGGGUUUAGAACGUCGUGAGACAGUUCGGUCCCUAUCUGCCGUGGGCGCUGGAGAACUGAGGGGGGCUGCUCCUAGUACGAGAGGACCGGAGUGGACGCAUCACUGGUGUUCGGGUUGUCAUGCCAAUGGCACUGCCCGGUAGCUAAAUGCGGAAGAGAUAAGUGCUGAAAGCAUCUAAGCACGAAACUUGCCCCGAGAUGAGUUCUCCCUGACUCCUUGAGAGUCCUGAAGGAACGUUGAAGACGACGACGUUGAUAGGCCGGGUGUGUAAGCGCAGCGAUGCGUUGAGCUAACCGGUACUAAUGAACCGUGAGGCUUAACCU
rnacentral:rRNA from 1 species